GGGGACAUACUGUUUUUGCCCUGUCUGUUGGUUGGUCUGUUGGUUGGUUGGUUGGUCUGUUUGCGCCAACUUUAACAUUUUGCAAUAACUUUUGCUAUAUUGAAUAUAGCAACUUGAUAUUUGGCAUGCAUGUGUAUCUCAUGGAGCUGCACAUUUUGAGUGGUGAAAGGUCAAGGUCAUCCUUCAAGGUCAGAGGUCAAAUAUAUGUGGCCAAAAUCGCUCAUUUUAUGAAUACUUUUGCAAUAUUGAAGAUAGCAACUUGAUAUUUGGCAUGCAUGUGUAUCUCAUGGAGCUGCACAUUUUGAGUGGUGAAAGGUCAAGGUCAUCCUUCAAGGUCAGAGGUCAAUUAUAUGUGGCCCAAAUCGCUUAUUUUAUGAAUACUUUUGCAAUAUUGAAGAUAGCAACUUCAUAUUUGGCAAGCAUGUGUAUCUCAUGGAGCUGCACAUUUUGAGUGGUGAAAGGUCAAGGUCGAGGUCAUCCUUCAAGGUCAAAUAUAUGGGUCAAAAUUGCUCAUGUAAUGUCACUUCUGCAAUAUUGAAGCUAGCAAUUUUAUAUUUGAAAUGCAUGUGUAUCUCAUGGAGCUGCACAUUUUGAGUGGUGAAGGGUCAAGGUCAUCCUUCAAGGUCAAACGUCAUAUAGGGGGACAUUGUGUUUCACAAACGCAUCUUGUUUGUAAUAAUAUGCAGAUAGUAUUUUAGAAUUGACAGUGUUUGAAAUGUAACUCUUGUAAACAUUUGAAAGGAUUGUCAAAAUAAGUUUUUUGAGCAAACUUCUUCUUGACUUCUCAAGCAAUUGACAUGAAAACUGUAGUACGUCAUCUCUGUCAAGUGUAGAAACCACUUUCUUGCAUAAUUAUCACCUGAUUUCUAAGUUGUAUUCCCUUCAACCUAGCCAUGUGACAAAGUAUAUUUAUUCAUAUUUGUGACAUUUAGUUAAAGUUAUUGUUUUUAUUUUCUAAAUAAAUAGUGCCGUUGUCAUAACUAUACUCACAAGAAACUUUACUUGUUACAUUGGUGUUGUUGUUUAAUGAAGAAGUUUACAAUAUGCACUUUUUAAUAUGUCUGUUUUUCCUUUGUUUUAUGUUACUAUUUUCUAAAGGUUGUAAAUUGUUGAACAGAAAUUGUACUGUAGAUUUGCCUGAUGUUACAAAAACUGUGCCUGGAUUUAUCACUGAAAUGAUAUGCUGUUGAUGUUGUUGAAUUGUCUAGUCACAAUGAAAGUUGUUGUUGAUAUUUUUAAAAGUAAGUACAGAACAAAGAAAAGCUGCCUGUUCUAAUAAUUUAAAUUGUUUUGUGUGUUAACAUAAAUAAGUAUAUACAAUUUGAACUUUGUUUUUAUAUUCUGAAUAAAAAGUUAUAUGUGAAGUGCCCUGCAACACUGUCAAAGUUAUUUGUGUUAUGUUCAAUUUUUAAAAUAUUGGAUUUCGGUAAUGUUCUUAAGACAUCUCAUUUAUUCAUUUUACGCAAAUAAAUUUCUAUAUUUUCUUUUAAAAUCAUCAUUUUCGUCCUUCGUUUUAAGCCUAUUCGUAUGAGAAUUGUUGAGGGAAAUUCGUUUUUGAAAGUUCCGACCAAGUCAAACUUAAGAGACAUGUGAGUCCUCUAUCAUAGAAUAAUAAAACCUUUUCUUUUUAACUAUAAUCGUCACUAACACCUCAAGGUACUGAUAUUAGCAAUGAUAGGGGAAAAACCCACACACUUUUACCUGAAAAUAAGUGACUGUACUACCCAAAAUAUUUUCUAUGUUAGGAAUCUCACAUGCUAAGUUCUUUGCCAUUAUGGAAAAAUAACUCAGUACAGUUUAUGCAUAUAUGGUAUUUGUUGUAGUCCAUCAUCAUUUUUAACACAUUUUAUUAGAUGGCAGAUGAUGAAUCAAGAUGUAGCACCAGCAAUAUGAUAAUCAGUUUUUUGUUUAAAAACAUUUGUUAAUAGUCCACAAGGAAUGAAACAUCUCUGUGAAAAUUGUAAUGAUAUAAGCUUGUUAUUUUGAAUCCUUACUGAUAAGUUUAAUAAUGUAUGGAAUGUAUCAAGAUUCUGAUAUUAGGUGGUCAAAUUUGGGUAAUACUACCACGGUACAUGUAGUUGUACUUCGGCUAUAGGUAUAUCAGUUUUAUUGCGACUUGACAUGUAUUAAUAGCACUGAAGUUUGGUUAACUGGCAGUUCUGCUCUUAUCCAUCACUUCACACUUGAUAUUUUAUGUGUGAAAGAUAGCCAUAAAAAGUUCCAUGAUUAAAAAUUAUAGGAGCAGCUUUAAAGUAGAGACACCAUGGCCCACACCACUGUUAUGUUAGUAUGUAAUUGUGGUUUACUUUUUAAACGUACUAAACUUAAAAGUAUCAUUUCAACUGGAAUGAAACAUGUGCUGUAAAGUUGCACUUUAUGCAUUUUAAUUCAUGUUGUUGCAAAAAGAAAAAUGCCUGUGUUAUUUAAUAUAAUAACACAUGAAAACUGUCUGGUUGGUUUGCUAGGGCUUUACCUUGUCUCCAACUUUUUUAAAUUAAGAAAAUUCAUUGUAAACAAGAUAGUUGUUCAUUUUGUGAAAUGAGUACUUGUAUUCAGUACAUUAUCAUAUCAUACACCCGUCCUACAUCCUAUACACCAAAUAAUCUAACAUCACUUCCAUAUUGUGCAUGAUCUUUUAUUUCAUGAAUAGUUUGUGUUCUGCUGUAUUGUAUUGCUAUUUGACGAGCUUUUAUAUGAUUGCAUGAUUUUAUGCUUGUACCUCUGUUGUUAUUAUUAUUAUUUUUAUGUUAAUCUGGAAUAGAAGACCAUUGUUUGCUAUCUAUAUCUAAAUGUAAACAGAUAAUGGUUAUAAAUGUUUAAAAGAAAUUGAUCAGUAAUUCAUAAUAAUAUUUUUGUUUGAAAAGCCAAGUAUUUUUUUGGUUGUAAAGGAAGAUUGCUUUCAUGGCCAUAUACAUAUACUGAAUACUACCUGCUUAGAAAAGUUCCUCAGUCUCACAUGAGCAUCUUAUUUAUAUGGAAGUCUGUAAAUUUGAAAAUUCUCUUGACUAAAAUCUUUAAUAUAAAUGAGCCUAAUUGAUUUUGUUUCUUAGUUAGGUUUAAGGUGUUGUUUUUCUUGGGUAAUUUAUUGUUGUUGCUUUGUUUUUGUUUUGUUUUUUUAUACACCAAAAUGUACAUAGUUAAGUAAACUUACAUUAUUUUGUGUGAGCCUAUGGGUAAAUGGUCAAUCACCACCAUUCACGACAGUUCUGUUGGCAGCAGAAUGGUGCAUUUGGAUGACCUGUAUAUCUUGAGGUUUAAACUGGAAACUGUUUUAUCUGCCAAACAUAUCUUCAGUCGAUACAAAAGUAAUGUUUUAUCCUUAAAUUAAUCUAGCAUAAAUAUGAAGGGAAUGUCCUUAAGACUGUUUCUUCCAAAUAAGACCUCUGAAAGUCUUGCAUGUCAUCUUGUUUGGAGACUGUCAAUCCAAUGUUGCCAUUUCUGCCAUGCUGGCCUAACAUUUGACAUGUUUGUGUGCAAUGAAUAGAAUUGAUGAUAGUUGUUACUGCUUGUGAUUGUGUGUAUAAACUUUUAAAUAUUCUUUUAUCAAAAUAAAAUGUUACAAAUA